rnacentral:rRNA from 1 species
AUGAUUUCAUCGUUGGUUGUCAUCAUUCUCACCGUACUCUGCAACGCUCCACUGGCCAGAUUCCAACACAAAUUUCAGAGUAAACUUAUGGAAGCACAAGAUGUGAGAUUGAAGGCCAUGUCUGAGUCACUAGUUCAUAUGAAGGUCUUGAAACUUUAUGCAUGGGAAGGCCACUUCAAGAAGGUCAUCGAGGGGUUGAGGGAAGUUGAGUACAAGUGGUUGUCAGCAUUCCAGCUUUGGAGGGCAUACAACAGUUUCCUGUUCUGGGCUUCUCCUGCUUUGGUUUCUGUGGCAACCUUUGUAACAUGCUAUCUUUUGAAAAUCCCUCUUGAUGCUAGCAAUGUAUUCACCUUUGUGGCAACUCUACGUCUCGUGCAAGACCCAGUUAGGACGAUACCCGAUGUUAUUGCAGUUGUGAUACAAGCUAAGGUUGCUUUCACUCGGAUAUCAAAGUUCCUUGAUGCACCUGAGUUAAACGAGCAAGUUAGGAAGAAAUAUUAUGGUGGAAUUGAUUACCCUAUAGCGAUGAAUUCGUGUAGCUUCUCCUGGGAUGAGAAUACAUCAAAACCAACUCUAAAGAAUAUAAAUAUGGCAGUCAAAGCUGGAGAAAAGGUUGCAAUUUGUGGAGAGGUUGGAUCAGGAAAGUCGACACUUUUGGCUGCUGUGCUCGGAGAGGUUCCCAAAACUGAAGGCACGAUCCAAGUCUGUGGGAAAAUAGCAUAUAUUUCUCAGAAUGCAUGGAUCCAAACAGGAACUGUGCAAGACAAUAUUCUGUUUGGAUCGUCGAUGGACAGGCAAAGAUACCUCAACACACUCGUGAGGUGCUCGUUGGUCAAGGACCUUGAAAUGCUGCCAUAUGGAGAUUGUACUCAAAUUGGGGAGAGAGGAGUAAAUCUUAGUGGUGGCCAGAAGCAACGCGUCCAGCUUGCUCGUGCACUAUACCAAAAUGCAGACAUCUAUCUUCUUGAUGACCCUUUCAGUGCUGUUGAUGCCCAUACAGCCACAAGUCUCUUCAAUGAAUAUGUCAUGAGUGCCCUAUCAGACAAGACCGUUCUUUUGGUGACUCACCAAGUGGAUUUUCUACCUGUAUUUGACUCCAUUUUGUUAAUGUCAAAUGGAGAGGUUAUUCGGUCUGCACCUUAUCAAGAUCUAUUGGCAGAUUGUGAAGAAUUUAAAGACCUUGUAAAUGCCCAUAAAGAUACUAUGGGUGUUUCGCAUAGCAAGAAUAACAUACCCCAUCAAAGAUCUAAGGAAGUAUCAAUAAAGGAGACAAAUGGUAUUCAUGGAAGUAGAUAUACAGAGUCUGUGAAGCCAUCACCGGCAGAUCAACUAAUCAAGAAAGAGGAAAGAGAAACUGGGGAUGCAGUUUUCAAGUCUUAUAUGCUUUACCUGCGCCAGAAGAAAGGCUUCCUGUAUUUCUUCUUGUGUAUGAUUUCUCACAUAAUUUUCGUAGCUGGGCAGAUAUUACAGAAUUCAUGGAUGGCUGCUAAUGUCCAAAAUCCUCAUGUUAGCACACUGAAGUUAAUUUCUGUGUACAUUAUUAUCGGAGCUUGCGCAAUGAUCUUCUUGCUAUCAAGAUCUUUAACAGUCGUUGUUUUUGGGAUCCAGUCAUCAAGAUCCUUAUUUUCCCAGCUACUCAAUUCAUUGUUCCGUGCACCAAUGUUCUUUUUUGAUUCUACACCUCUAGGAAGGGUUCUUAGCCGGGUCUCUUCAGAUUUGAGUAUCGUUGACCUUGAUAUUCCAUUUGCAUUAGUGGUUAGCCUUGGUACCAGCUUAAAUGCAUGUAGCAAUCUAGGGGUAUUGGCUGUUGUUACAUGGCAAGUUCUGUUUGUAUCCGUGCCAAUGAUAGUUUUGGCAAUUAAGUUGCAGAGGUACUAUCUAGCAUCGGCCAAGGAAUUAAUGCGGAUCAAUGGUACUACAAAGUCUGCCCUAGCGAGUCACUUAGGUGAAUCGAUUGCAGGGGCUAUAACGAUAAGGGCCUUUGAGGGAGAAGAUCGUUUCUUUGCUAAAAAUUUGGAUCUUGUUGACAAGAAUGCCAGCCCAUAUUUCUGUAAUUUUGCAGCAACUGAAUGGUUGAUUCAACGUAUAGAAAUAAUGAGCGCUGUAGUUCUUUCUUCUUCCGCCUUUGUCAUGGCUCUUCUUCCUCAAGAAACUUUUAGCCCUGGUUUUGUGGGAAUGGCAUUGUCCUAUGGUCUUUCGCUAAAUACAUCAUUUGUUUCCUUUACUCAAAGCCAGUGCAACCUUGGGAAUCAAAUAAUCUCGAUGGAACGGGUGAGUCAGUACAUGGACAUACCAAGUGAAGCAGCAGAAGUCACUGAAGACAAUCGACCAUUACCAGAUUGGCCCCAAAAUGGCAAUGUGGAGAUUAGGCAUUUGAAGAUUAGGUACAGGGAAGACGCACCCCUUGUACUACAUGGAAUCACUUGCAAUUUUGAAGGUGGAGAUAAGAUUGGUAUAGUUGGUCGAACAGGAAGUGGCAAGACAACGUUAAUUGGUGCAUUGUUUCGCCUUGUUGAACCUGAUGAAGGGAACAUAAUUAUAGACUUUGUGGAUAUCAGUACAAUAGGCUUACAUGAUCUGCGGUCGCGUUUGGGUAUCAUUCCACAAGACCCAACACUUUUCCAGGGUACAAUAAGAUACAAUCUAGAUCCUCUUGGGCAAUUCUCAGAUGAAAAAAUAUGGGAGGUUCUUGCCAAAUGUCAACUUCUUGAAGCUGUCCAGGAGAAGGAACAGGGACUGGAUUCACAUGUUGUGGAAAGUGGGUCAAACUGGAGCAUGGGCCAAAGGCAGCUCUUCUGCCUGGGACGCGCACUUCUGAGGUGCCGUAUCUUGGUUCUUGAUGAAGCCACAGCUUCUAUAGACAAUGCAACAGAUGUUCUCCUUCAGAAGACCAUCCGGACGGAAUUCAAAUAUUGCACUGUUAUUACAGUUGCCCACCGUAUACCGACAGUUAUGGAUUGUGAUAUGGUACUUGCAAUGAGCGACGGGAAAGUAGUAGAGUUUGAGAAACCUACAAAGCUCAUGGAAACUGAAGGAUCUCUCUUUCGCGAGCUGGUCAAGGAGUACUGGUCAUACACUUCGAACACAAAUAUCUAG